AGAGUUUGAUUCUGGCUCAGAACGAACGCUGGCGGCGUGGAUAAGACAUGCAAGUCGAACGGAGAAUUUCAAUAGCUUGCUAAUGAAAUUCUUAGUGGCGGACGGGUUAGUAACACGUGAGAAUCCUACCCUUGAGUGGGGAAUAGCCUUUCGAAAGGAAGAUUAAUGCCCCAUAGUCUCUACGGAGUAAAGAUGCCUUCGGGUGUCGCUUAAGGAUGGGCUCGCGGCCUAUCAGCUAGUUGGUGAGGUAAGAGCUCACCAAGGCAACGACGGGUAGCUGGUCUGAGAGGACGAUCAGCAACACUGGAACUGAGACACGGUCCAGACACCUACGGGUGGCAGCAGUCGAGAAUCAUUCGCAAUGGGCGCAAGCCUGACGGUGCGACGCCGCGUGGGGGAAGAAGGUCCUAGGAUCGUAAACCCCUGUCAUUGGUUAACAAACCUGCACGUUUAACUGACGUGAAGCUGAUAGUAGCCAAAGAGGAAGGGACGGCUAACUCCGUGCCAGCAGCCGCGGUAAUACGGGGGUCCCAAGCGUUGUUCGGAUUCACUGGGCGUAAAGAGUACGUAGGCGGCCUGUUUAGUCUGAUGUGAAAGCUCCGAGCUCAACUCGGAAAUUGCAUUGGAUACUGGCAGGCUAGAGAUCCGGAGGGGAGACUGGAAUUCUCGGUGUAGCAGUGAAAUGCGUAGAUAUCGAGAGGAACAUCAGUGGCGAAGGCGAGUCUCUGGACGGUUUCUGACGCUGAGGUACGAAAGUUAGGGUAGCAAACAGGAUUAGAUACCCUGGUAGUCCUAACCGUAAACGGUGUGCACUUGCUGUAGGAGGAUUCGACCCCUUCUGUGGCGAAGCAAACGCGAUAAGUGCACCGCCUGGGGAGUACGGCCGCAAGGUUAAAACUCAAAGAAAUUGACGGGGGCCUGCACAAGCGGUGGAGUAUGUGGCUUAAUUCGAUGCAACGCGAAGAACCUUACCUGGGCUUGACAUGCCGUCAUAAGCUGUGAAAGCAGUGGUCAGUUCGGCUGGACGUGCACAGGUGCUGCAUGGCUGUCGUCAGCUCGUGUCGUGAGAUGUUGGUUUAAGUACCGCAACGAGCGCAACCCCUGCAUUUAGUUGCCAUCAAGUAAUGUUGGGCACUCUAGAUGGACUGCCCCAUUUCAAUGGGGAGGAAGGUGGGGACGACGUCAAGUCAGUAUGGCCCUUACGCCCAGGGCUGCACACGUACUACAAUGCCAAGUACAGAGGGACGCCAAACCGCGAGGUGGAGCAAAUCCCAUAAAACUUGGCCCAGUUCAGAUUGUAGUCUGCAACUCGACUACAUGAAGUUGGAAUCGCUAGUAAUGGCGCAUCAGCUACGGCGCCGUGAAUACGUUCCCAGGCCUUGUACACACCGCCCGUCACAUCAUGAAAGUCGGCUGUACCCGAAGUCACUGUGUUAACCGCAAGGAGACAGGUGCCGAAGGUAUGGCUGGUAAUUGGGAUGAAGUCGUAACAAGGUAGCCG
rnacentral:rRNA from 1 species